rnacentral:tRNA from 1 species
GCCUCUUUAGCUCAGCUGGUAGAGCAGCUCAUUCGUAAUGAGCAGGUCGAGGGUUCGAGCCCCUUGAGUGGCU